rnacentral:sRNA from 12 species
UAGUCCGGUAAGAUUCCGGAGUCCAUGUUUUAUGGAUAACGCUUAUACUUAUGACGGAGUUACGAGAAGCCGUUGCUUCACUCUGAAAUCAUAAGCGCAAGCCAAGCGCGAAAGACUUGGAA